UGGGGAAUAUUGCACAAUGGGCGCAAGCCUGAUGCAGCCAUGCCGCGUGUGUGAAGAAGGCCUUCGGGUUGUAAAGCACUUUCAGCGAGGAGGAAGGUGGUGAGCUUAAUACGCUCAUCAAUUGACGUUACUCGCAGAAGAAGCACCGGCUAACUCCGUGCCAGCAGCCGCGGUAAUACGGAGGGUGCAAGCGUUAAUCGGAAUUACUGGGCGUAAAGCGCACGCAGGCGGUUUGUUAAGUCAGAUGUGAAAUCCCCGGGCUCAACCUGGGAACUGCAUUUGAAACUGGCAAGCUAGAGUCUCGUAGAGGGGGGUAGAAUUCCAGGUGUAGCGGUGAAAUGCGUAGAGAUCUGGAGGAAUACCGGUGGCGAAGGCGGCCCCCUGGACGAAGACUGACGCUCAGGUGCGAAAGCGUGGGGCAGCAAACAGGAUUAGAUACCCUGGUAGUCCACGCUGUAAACGAUGUCGAUUUUGGAGGUUGUGCCCCUUGAGGCGUGG
rnacentral:rRNA from 1 species